GUUUGUUUGCUUUUCUGAAGGGCCAUCUCCUGGCCCAGUGAUUGAGAAGCCCAAUUGGAUGAACUCUUAAGGAGAAGAAUUUGGGGCAACUUAGAAUAUCAUGUCUCCACCCAGAGCCAGAGGAGCAACGCUGAUUCUCCUCUGUCUGGCACUACCAGGGAAACUGUUGGAGACUGGGUUUCAUCCUCAACAAUCUGCAGGCCUGCUAAUGUCUGCCCAGCUACCUAACAGUUUGUAUGUGAAUUGCCUCUAGGAUUCUUUUUUUCCAGUUCUCAUUUUUAACAUCUCAGGACUCAUUAAAGUGACGUUUUUCUUAA
rnacentral:lncRNA from 1 species